UCCUGUCUGGGUACUGCUAACCGAAACGGAGUGGUUUUUCAGAAGUGAUUUUUUUUUUUUUUCCUUUCCUUUUCUUUUCUUUUCUUUUCUUUCUUUUUCGGUUCAGUGAAUCCGGCGGACUCUAGGUGAAGACAGGCGGGUGACCCUCUCCCGAGACCUGCAGCGGGCGCCAUCUCUCCCGCUGAGUAGCCGGCCUCACGGGGUGGUCUGGAUAUCAGUGCUGUGUGUGGCUAUGCAAGACGGACCGAAGCCCUGGCAAGAGCUGCAGGACGGGAUGCUUGCUUGGGCAUGGUGGUCACACCUUUAGUCCUGACAUGAGGAGGCAGAGGCAAGUGGAUCUCUUGAAUUUGAAGCACCCUAGUGAACAGCGAAUUCCAGGCCAGCCAGGUCUACACAGUGAGACCCUCUCUCAAAGCAAAGCCUACCUGUUCUGCAAAUGACAGGUUAGCAGCUCAGUGAUCGCUGUCUUUUACUCAUCUCCAUGACCAUCUGUAACAUCUGGCGGUGCCAGCUCCACUGUCUGCACCUAGAAGAUCACACUCAGGAAACUGAACCUAUGUGUGUGUACAAAUAUAUUUGUGUGACAUUUCAGUCUGUUGUCAUCUAAAAAAGUAAACAACUGUGAAGUUGUUACAAAAUAAGUCACCCAGAGGGGGAAGGGAAACAGGAGGAGGAUCUUCGUGAAGAGGGUACUGGGAAGAGGGGGCUGAUACUGUGAUGUAAAUUUUUAAAAAGUAACUUGAAGAUACUAUCAGUUCCCAGUAUGUAUUAUAAAGUCAAAUGAUUAAAUAUAUUUAUAUAUCUUACAAAAAUUAAGUCUUACACAAACUUUUUUAUGUUACUCUUUUAUUUCAAUAAUGGUCUUAACAGGUAGUUUCAUGUCUGUCGCUUUAGUAAAACGCCCUGACAGAGCAACUAAAUGGAGCAAGACUAUUUUAGCUUCCAGCUCUAGGUGACAGUCCAUUACUACGGAGGAGUCUCAGCAGCAGGAACUAGGACAGGCGCUUGCUCCACAUCCCAUAGCCACGAACAGAGAGCAAGUGGAUGCUUGACGCUUGCUCUCCAUCGCCUCCCAACACAGUGCAGAAUCUAAUCCAUGACAUGGUACCUCCCACAUUCGGAGUGGGCCUUCCACCUCACUUAACCCCAUCAUGAAAAUGUUAACCAUGGGUCAACUCAACCCAUAUAACUCUCGUUGAGACUGUAUUCUCAGGUGUUUUGAUAUCCUUUCAAAUUGACAAAACUAACCAACACAGGGUCUCUGCUGGCUAGGAAUUGCGGAGGCACGGGAUAAUCUUGAAUUCCUGCUCCCGCUGCGUACACCUCUGCAGUGCUUGGAUUCUCGAGUCUGCGUUCCACCGAUCUGUUUCGUGUGGUACUUGUAAAUAAACUCUGGGUCUUGGCUCGUCCAACAAUCUGUCAAUUGAGCUACAUCCCCAGCAAGUUUAUGGUUUUGAGUUGGGCAUUCUAAGCUGCAAGCGCUGGUUAGAAACCCUUGCUCUGAAAGGUUAGGAGCCGUCUCCAUUCACACCGGAAGGCAUCUGGUCAGCAGAACAGGACUACCGCCAUCCCUGGCAAUGCUGGACAGGUCAUUAAUCUAUGGGGAAGAUUAAUCAAGACAGUGAGCAUCUGGUCUGGCCUCACAGUAUAGAAAGACACUAACAUGGUGACGGUUGAGGGCUACUGGUCUCCCUCGAGUGAUCUAUACGGCCCUGACUCGGCUCAAGGUGGCACUGGUCUCGCAGCCCUUUGCUCUCAGUACCAGAAGGGCCCACGCGUGGACACCCGAAAGGGGAAACAGGUUAGCUAAACCUGGCCUGUGACACUGUGGGCACACCAUGUCAACUCCGCCCUCCGCCAGGGAAGGUCAAUGGUGCGCUUGCGCGGGCUCGAUGCCCCAGUAACCAUGCGGACAGUGUGGACCAAUCAGCGUGCUGCCUCCUGGCCCCGUCUUGCGCUGCGCCCGCCCCUUCCUCCGCGCGCUGAGGCCAGCGCUGUCCGCAACGCGUUGAGGUGGACGCGGCUCGGAGCGGCCCUCCGACGACUGAAACUGUUACGGUUUCCUGUAUUGAGUUAUCCCAGGCUGCAGGUACGGGCAACUUAAGUCCUCAAGGUCACACAGUUAGUCAUGGAAGAACUAGAAAUUGGAUGCUUGCCUUUCUGGAUCCUCUAAGCAGGUUUGUCAACAUAAAACGAAGCUCCCCAAAGGUAACGUGAGAUGUAUGCAGGCUACAGCAGAAUUGGGGAGAAAUUGCUAUAAGUUUUAGAUGCUAAAGUCUUAGCUUUCAGGUUAGUGGAGGUUAGUGGUUUAAUGUAAUGUCUUCCAAAAGCUUUACCUGAUGAUACAAAAGACUGUUAGAUACAGAGAUGAGAGAUAAAUGACUGUUAAGGUGAUUAAGAAUAAAGAUAUCCAGCCGGGCGUGGUGGCGCGCUCCUUUAAUCCCAGCACUUGGGAGGCAGAGGCAGGCGAAUU